rnacentral:rRNA from 1 species
UGCAAGUCGAGCGCGGGAAGCUUGUCUGAUCCCUUCGGGGUGACGCGAGUGGAACGAGCGGCGGACGGGUGAGUAACACGUGGGCAACCUGCCUGUAAGACUGGGAUAACUCCGGGAAACCGGGGCUAAUACCGGAUAAUACAUUGCUUCGCAUGAAGCAAUGUUGAAAGAUGGCUUUUAGCUAUCACUUACAGAUGGGCCCGCGGCGCAUUAGCUAGUUGGUAAGGUAAUGGCUUACCAAGGCAACGAUGCGUAGCCGACCUGAGAGGGUGAUCGGCCACACUGGGACUGAGACACGGCCCAGACUCCUACGGGAGGCAGCAGUAGGGAAUCUUCCGCAAUGGACGAAAGUCUGACGGAGCAACGCCGCGUGAACGAAGAAGGUUUUCGGAUCGUAAAGUUCUGUUGUUAGGGAAGAACAAGUGCCGUUCAAAUAGGGCGGUACCUUGACGGUACCUAUCGAGGAAGCCCCGGCUAACUACGUGCCAGCAGCCGCGGUAAUACGUAGGGGGCAAGCGUUGUCCGGAAUUAUUGGGCGUAAAGCGCGCGUAGGCGGUUUCUUAAGUCUGAUGUGAAAUCUUGCGGCUCAACCGCAAGCGGCCAUUGGAAACUGAGGAACUUGAGUGCAGAAGAGGAGAGCGGAAUUCCACGUGUAGCGGUGAAAUGCGUAGAUAUGUGGAGGAACACCAGUGGCGAAGGCGGCUCUCUGGUCUGUAACUGACGCUGAGGUGCGAAAGCGUGGGGAGCGAACAGGAUUAGAUACCCUGGUAGUCCACGCCGUAAACGAUGAGUGCUAGGUGUUAGGGGGUUUCCGCCCCUUAGUGCUGCAGUUAACGCAUUAAGCACUCCGCCUGGGGAGUACGGCCGCAAGGCUG